CUGCUAAUACUCUAUACUCCUGUCUUACAUAAGUUAGAUAGGGAAAGUUUUUCGGUGUAGGAUGAGGCUAUAUUGUAUCAGCUAGUUGGUGAGGUAAUGGCUCACCAAGGCUAUGACGCAUAACUGGUCUGAGAGGAUGAUCAGUCACACUGGAACUGAGACACGGUCCAGACUCCUACGGGAGGCAGCAGUAGGGAAUAUUGCUCAAUGGGGGAAACCCUGAAGCAGCAACGCCGCGUGGAGGAUGACACUUUUCGGAGCGUAAACUCCUUUUGUUAGGGAAGAAUAAUGACGGUACCUAACGAAUAAGCACCGGCUAACUCCGUGCCAGCAGCCGCGGUAAUACGGAGGGUGCAAGCGUUACUCGGAAUCACUGGGCGUAAAGGACGCGUAGGCGGAUUAUCAAGUCUCUUGUGAAAUCCUAUGGCUUAACCAUAGAACUGCUUGGGAAACUGAUAAUCUAGAGUGAGGGAGAGGCAGAUGGAAUUGGUGGUGUAGGGGUAAAAUCCGUAGAGAUCACCAGGAAUACCCAUUGCGAAGGCGAUCUGCUGGAACUCAACUGACGCUAAUGCGUGAAAGCGUGGGGAGCAAACAGGAUUAGAUACCCUGGUAGUCCACGCCCUAAACGAUGUAUACUAGUUGUUGCUAAGCUAGUCUUGGCAGUAAUGCACCUAACGGAUUAAGUAUACCGCCUGGGGAGUACGGUCGCAAGAUUAAAACUCAAAGGAAUAGACGGGGACCCGCACAAGCGGUGGAGCAUGUGGUUUAAUUCGAAGAUACGCGAAGAACCUUACCCGGACUUGAUAUCUAACAAAUCAUCCAGAGAUGGAAGAGUGUCUGCUUGCAGAAAUGUUAAGACAGGUGCUGCACGGCUGUCGUCAGCUCGUGUCGUGAGAUGUUGGGUUAAGUCCCGCAACGAGCGCAACCCACGUCAUUAGUUGCUAACAGUUCGGCUGAGCACUCUAAUGAGACUGCCUUCGUAAGGAGGAGGAAGGUGUGGACGACGUCAAGUCAUCAUGGCCCUUAUGUCCGGGGCGACACACGUGCUACAAUGGCAUAUACAAUGAGACGCAAUAUCGCGAGAUGGAGCAAAUCUAUAAAAUAUGUCCCAGUUCGGAUUGGAGUCUGCAACUCGACUCCAUGAAGCCGGAAUCGCUAGUAAUC
rnacentral:rRNA from 1 species